GACAGAGGUGCCAAGCGUUAGGCGGAAUCACUGGGCUUAAAGCGUGUGUAGGUGGAUGCCUAAGUGCCUUGUGAAAUCCCACGGCUCAACCGUGGAAUUGCUGGGCAUACUGGGUGUCUUGAGCCAUCCAGGGGUCGCUGGAACAAACGGUGGAGCGGUGAAAUGCGUAGAUAUCGUUUGGAACGCCAAUGGUGAAAACAGGCGACUGGGGAUGAGCUGACACUGAGACACGAAGGCCAGGGGAGCAAACGGG
rnacentral:rRNA from 1 species